GGGAAUAUUGCACAAUGGGCGCAAGCCUGAUGCAGCGACGCCGCGUGAGCGAAGAAGUAUUUCGGUAUGUAAAGCUCUAUCAGCAGGGAAGAAAAUGACGGUACCUGACUAAGAAGCUCCGGCUAAAUACGUGCCAGCAGCCGCGGUAAUACGUAUGGAGCAAGCGUUAUCCGGAAUUACUGGGUGUAAAGGGAGCGUAGACGGAUGUGCAAGUCUGAUGUGAAAGGCGGGGGCUCAACCCCUGGACUGCAUUGGAAACUGUAAAUCUUGAGUGCCGGAGAGGUAAGCGGAAUUCCUAGUGUAGCGGUGAAAUGCGUAGAUAUUAGGAGGAACACCAGUGGCGAAGGCGGCCUGCUGGACUGCGACUGACGUUGAGGCCCGAAAGCGUGGGGAGCAAACAGGA
rnacentral:rRNA from 1 species